CGAGUGGCGGACGGGUGAGUAAUGUCUGGGAAACUGCCUGAUGGAGGGGGAUAACUACUGGAAACGGUAGCUAAUACCGCAUAACGUCGCAAGACCAAAGAGGGGGACCUUCGGGCCUCUUGCCAUCGGAUGUGCCCAGAUGGGAUUAGCUAGUAGGUGGGGUAACGGCUCACCUAGGCGACGGUCCCUAGCUGGUCUGAGAGGAUGACCAGCCACACUGGAACUGAGACACGGUCCAGACUCCUACGGGAGGCAGCAUG
rnacentral:rRNA from 1 species